GCGAGAGUAGUACAGUGGUAGUACAUAUCUUUCCCAAGGAUAAGAUGCGGGUUCGAUUCCCGUCUCUCGCU
rnacentral:tRNA from 1 species